rnacentral:rRNA from 1 species
CACGUAGGGUGCGAGCGUUGUCCGGAAUUAUUGGGCGUAAAGAGCUCGUAGGCGGUCUGUCGCGUCUGCUGUGAAAACUCAGGGCUUAACCCUGAGCUUGCAGUGGGUACGGGCAGACUAGAGUGCGGUAGGGGAGACUGGAAUUCCUGGUGUAGCGGUGAAAUGCGUAGAUAUCGCUUGGAACGCCGAAGGUGAAAACGAGGUCGCUGGGGAUCGUGCCGACGGCUGAGACACGAGAGCCAGGGGAGCAAACGGG